GCGUACAGCCAUACCAGCCUGAAUACGCCCGAUCUCGUCUGAUCUCGGAAGUUAAGCAGGAUUGGGCCUGGUGAGUACUUGGAUGGGAGGCUGCCUGGGAAUACCAGGUGCUGCAAACU
ensembl:rRNA 5S_rRNA 5S ribosomal RNA